AUUCACUUUUUCAUCAGUAACUAGGUUAAACUCUCCAACAUAAAUAAAGCGGCAAUUCAUAUUUUGCUGCAGAUAAAUUACAAGGCGAGUAAAUAUUCAAUGGAUGAAAAUAAAAAUAAAUUGCAAGAUCGACUGAAGAAGGAGAAAUUGAAAGCUAACAGGGUUACUGAAGUAUAUAUUACAAGGGCUGACAAUGUGCAAGCAAAUUUUGAUGCAUUUGAAGUUAAUAAUUUUUUUCAAAUUUGCAACAACAAAUAUUAAGUUAAAUGACAUUAUUUAAAAAGAGCAGAACAUGAUGGGGAUCAAAAUAAUGAUAUUGAGCAAGAAUUAGAGCAUUUUGAAAAUGAUGAAUAUCAUAUGAAUGAAAGUGAAGAAGAGUUCAAUUGUUUGGAGAUGGAUUCAGACAGUGAAUGGCUUGGUGUAUGGGACAACAUUGAAAAAGAUGAGGCAACUGUGCAAGUGAUAGAGAAGAAAAUCUAAAAGAUAGUAAAAAAUGGAGAAAAAUAGAGAAAAAGAAUGAUAAAGUGAUGGAAGAAUCUAAGAAUACCAAUUUUGCAGAGUUGCUAUUGGAGGACUCAUGUUCGGAAGCUGAGAAUGGUAAUAUUUCUUCUGAAAAUGAUGAAUUAGAUGACAUGAGGAAUGUUAAUAGUGAUGAUGAUUGGGUUGAGAAUAUUGCAUUUAGGGCAGAUAUAGACAUGUCUAAUCCAACAUUUAGCUUGGGAAUGACAUUCGUUAAUGCAAUAGAGUUUAGAGUUGCUUUUAUAGCUUACUAUGUUAAAAAUAAUAGAGAAAUCUCCUUGAAGAAGAAUGAAUCUGGUAAAAUUUCUGCAAAAUGUUCCGAUGGAAGUCCAUGGCGCAUAUAUGCCUCAAGAAAGGCACUAGAUGAUCCUACCAUCAUGAUAAAGACUUUGGUUGAGAAACAUUCUGAGAAUUGUUUGUUUGUUUAUGUCAACAAAAAUGUGAAAUCUAGAAUGAUUGCCCAAAAAUACCUACAUUAUUUAAGAAAACAUCCAGAUGUAUCGAUAGGUGAUUUUAUGAAGAAAAUACAUGAAGAGAUGAAUGUUGAAAUUUCAGUAAGUCAAGCAUACAAAGCAAAGAGAAUCGCUAAAGAGAUGAUUGAAGGUCACUACAAAUAAAAAUAUGCAAAAUUAGAGGAUUACUGUGCAGAACUCAAGAAGAAGAAUCUCGGAUCGACUAUAUUGUUAGAAACAACACCUAAUGAAGAAGAUGGUAAACCUAUUUUUGAAAGAAUUUACAUAUGCCUUGAGCCUUGCAAAAGAGGUUGGAAGGCAGGUUGUAGGCCACUUAUCGGGAUGGAUGGGUGCUUUCUUAAAGGUCCAUAUGGUGGUCAACUUUUGACAGCAAUUGGGAUAGAUGCUGAUAAUGGUAUGUUCCUGAUAGCCUAUGCUGUAGUCGAUGUUGAAGACAAGAAUAAUUGGAAGUGGUUUUUGAAUUUGCUGGUAGAUGACUUGUAAAUUAGAAAUCAUGAUAACAUAUGCCUCAUUAUAGCCAAAGAAAAGGGUUUGGAGGGAGCUAUUUAUGAGACUAUUCCUCAAGUUGAGCAUAGACAUUGUGUAAGACAUCUGUACAAUAAUUUCAAGAAAGUGCAUAAAGAUUUAUCACUGAAGACAAGAAUCUGAAAAGCUGCUAGGGCAACUUAUGUAAGCAAGUAUUUAUAUGAAAUGAAUAUGCUUGAAAAGGAGGACGAAGAAUCUAAAAAUUGGUUCAGCGAUAAACCACCAAAAUUCUGGAGCAAGUCACAUUUUAGAAAAACAACAAGGUGUGAUAUGCUUUUCAAUAAUCUUUGUGAGUUAUUCAAUGGGUUGAAACUAAUUUUAAAAGCGAGGGAGAAACCUAUACUUGGAUUGCUUGAAGGAAUUCGAAUAUACCUGAUGAAAAGAAUGAAUCAAAAGAGGGAGGUUGUGCUCAAAUACAAAGGAACUCUAUGCCCUCGAAUACGGAAACUAGUAGAAGUAAAGAAAGAACAGACAGCUAUAUCAAUUCCUACUAGGGCUGAACAAUUGUUAUUUCAAGUACAAACUAUGUACGGUGAGCAGUUUAGUCUUGACUUGAAUAGAAGAACCUGUUGUUGCAGGGGAUGGGACCUUACAGGAAUCCCAUGCUUGCAUGCUUUGAGCUGCAUCUUCCAUGUUAGAGGGAAUCCGAAAAAUUUCACAAAUGAUUGUUACAACAAGGCUUUACAAAUAAGAAUUUAUAACCGGUGAUUGCUUUAAUGGAUGGACCUGAUAUGUGGGAACCAACUGGCCUACUUCCCAUUGAACCUCCUAACUAUGAGCCAAAGAAAGGUAAAUUGGACAAAAAUAGAAGAAAAGAACCUGAUGAAAUUGAAGCCUCCAAGAGAAAAGCAGUUGAGAUGAAAAAAUAGAAAAUAAAGAGAAAGAAAAAAUAGUCUGCAUCAAGUGAAAUAGAUGGUGUAACCAUAGAUGUUACCAAAUUGAGUAAGAAAGGAAAGUUAGGAAGGUGUAGCAAGUGUUUGCAAACUGAUCACAAUAAAACAACUUGCAAGAAGAAUAGUGAUUCUCAGGAUUCAACUACUUCAUUUCAUGCUACUCAAACAUCUAAAGAUUGGUCCAAAAAUGAUACAAAUCAAUUCUGUUCAAGUAAGAAAAUUCAUUUUGAGUCCACUUACUGGGAUGGCCAUACAAAUGAACCUUCCAAGCUCAACCCAAGAAGGACAAUGGAGGAUAAUUACUGAGUGAGCAUAAAUGGGAAGUUUAAAUUUUGAUACAGCCAAGUAUUCCCUGCGAUCUAGUAGAGGAGAAAAUAAUGGUGUCUCUUAUGCUUUGGUGGUGAAAGUUGAGUUCUAGCGGACUGGUUAUUCUCCUCCUCUUUACAUCUACAAUUGGAAAUACAAUCGGAUGCAGCAUGAAGAAACAAGUUGUCUUAGCUUGAUUAAAGUACAUUUAUGUGAUGUUUGAAUUUCAAGUCAAGUUCAAAAACAAUCUUGCCCUACAUUUUGAGUGUUUUGUUUAAGAUUUCUGGAAUGGUGUGUUUUCUCUUCUUUAGCAUUUGUCUUUAAUCCCAACUUCCAAUAUGUUUUUUGGGGAUAAAACCCAACCUGGUGUGUUCUUAGACUUCAACAUGGUUUUAGAGAAUAUAUCUGAAGUUUUAGUGCUUUACUUUCCAUCGAAAUACGUGAUUUAUAUUUUAAGUGGUGCUUUUUGUCUAGUUAAGUAUUGAGCCGGGGGUCUAUUGGAAACAUCCUCUCUAUGUCUUCGGAGAUAUGGUAUGGACUGCAUACAUUUUAUCCUCCCCAGACCCCACUAGGUGAGAAUACGCUAUGUAACAAAUUAGUGCAACUUACUGUCUUAUUUAGUUUACUGCAUUUACCAGGUCAAAAUAUUACUAGGUGAGGUUUGUUCACCU